rnacentral:rRNA from 1 species
CAAUAGCGUAUAUUAAAGUUGUUGCAGUUAAAAAGCUCGUAGUUGGAUUUCUGCUGAGGACGAUCGGUCCGCCCACUGGGUGAGUAUCUGGCUCGGCCUUGGCAUCUUCUUGGAGAACGUUGCUGCACUUGACUGUGUGGCGCGGUAUCCAGGACUUUUACUUUGAGGAAAUUAGAGUGUUUCAAGCAGGCGCACGCCUUGAAUACAUUAGCAUGGAAUAAUGAGAUAGGACCUUGGUUCUAUUUUGUUGGUUUCUAGAGCUGAGGUAAUGAUUAAUAGGGAUAGUUGGGGGCAUUCGUAUUUAACUGUCAGAGGUGAAAUUCUUGGAUUUGUCAAAGACGGACUACUGCGAAAGCAUUUGCCAAGGAUGUUUUCAUUGA